UACGUAGGGCGCAAGCGUUGUCCGGAAUUAUUGGGCGUAAAGAGCUCGUAGGCGGUCUGUCGCGUCGGAUGUGAAAGCCCGGGGCUUAACCCCGGGUCUGCAUUCGAUACGGGCAGACUAGAGUGUGGUAGGGGAGAUCGGAAUUCCUGGUGUAGCGGUGAAAUGCGCAGAUAUCAGGAGGAACACCGGUGGCGAAGGCGGAUCUCUGGGCCAUUACUGACGCUGAGGAGCGAAAAGCGUGGGGGAGCGAAACAGG
rnacentral:rRNA from 1 species